rnacentral:rRNA from 1 species
AGUGAACGCUGGCGGUAGGCCUAACACAUGCAAGUCGAACGGCAGCACAGUAAGAGCUUGCUCUUACGGGUGGCGAGUGGCGGACGGGUGAGGAAUACAUCGGAAUCUACUUUUUCGUGGGGGAUAACGUAGGGAAACUUACGCUAAUACCGCAUACGACCUACGGGUGAAAGCAGGGGAUCUUCGGACCUUGCGCGAUUGAAUGAGCCGAUGUCGGAUUAGCUAGUUGGCGGGGUAAAGGCCCACCAAGGCGACGAUCCGUAGCUGGUCUGAGAGGAUGAUCAGCCACACUGGAACUGAGACACGGUCCAGACUCCUACGGGAGGCCGCAGUGGGGACUAUUGGACAAUGGGCGCAAGCCUGAUCCAGCCAUACCGCGUGGGUGAAGAAGGCCUUCGGGUUGUAAAGCCCUUUUGUUGGGAAAGAAAAGCAGCAGGUUAAUACCCCGCUGUUCUGACGGUACCCAAAGAAUAAGCACCGGCUAACCUCGUG